rnacentral:rRNA from 1 species
GAUGAACGCUAGCUACAGGCUUAACACAUGCAAGUCGAGGGGCAGCAUGGUCUUAGCUUGCUAAGGCUGAUGGCGACCGGCGCACGGGUGAGUAACACGUAUCCAACCUGCCGUCUACUCUUGGCCAGCCUUCUGAAAGGAAGAUUAAUCCAGGAUGGCAUCAUGAGUUCACAUGUCCGCAUGAUUAAAGGUAUUUUCCGGUAGACGAUGGGGAUGCGUUCCAUUAGAUAGUAGGCGGGGUAACGGCCCACCUAGUCAACGAUGGAUAGGGGUUCUGAGAGGAAGGUCCCCCACAUUGGAACUGAGACACGGUCCAAACUCCUACGGGAGGCAGCAGUGAGGAAUAUUGGUCAAUGGGCGAUGGCCUGAACCAGCCAAGUAGCGUGAAGGAUGACUGCCCUAUGGGUUGUAAACUUCUUUUAUAAAGGAAUAAAGUCGGGUAUGCAUACCCGUUUGCAUGUACUUUAUGAAUAAGGAUCGGCUAACUCCGUGCCAGCAGCCGCGGUAAUACGGAGGAUCCGAGCGUUAUCCGGAUUUAUUGGGUUUAAAGGGAGCGUAGAUGGAUGUUUAAGUCAGUUGUGAAAGUUUGCGGCUCAACCGUAAAAUUGCAGUUGAUACUGGAUGUCUUGAGUGCAGUUGAGGCAGGCGGAAUUCGUGGUGUAGCGGUGAAAUGCUUAGAUAUCACGAAGAACUCCGAUUGCGAAGGCAGCCUGCUAAGCUGCAACUGACAUUGAGGCU